rnacentral:sRNA from 1 species
GGACUGAGGAAAUCGCCAACCUGCGCC